rnacentral:rRNA from 1 species
ACACAACGGGUGGAGCCUGCGGUUAAUUGGACUCAACGCCGGGCAGCUCACCGGAUAAGACAGCUGGAUGAUAGCCGGGCUGAAGACUCUGCUUGACUAGCUGAGAGGAGGUGCAUGGCCGUCGUCAGUUCGUACUGUGAAGCAUCCUGUUAAGUCAGGCAACGAGCGAGACCCACGCCAACAGUUGCCAGCAUGUCCUCCGGGAUGAUGGGGACACUGUUGGGACCGCCUCUGCUAAAGAGGAGGAAGGAAUGGGCAACGGUAGGUCAGCAUGCCCCGAAUUAUCCGGGCUACACGCGGGCUACAAUGGUCAGGACAAUGGGUAUCGACACCGAGAGGUGGAGGCAAUCUCCUAAACCUGUCCUUAGUUCGGAUUGUGGGCUGCAACUCGCCCACAUGAAGCUGGAAUCCGUAGUAAUCGCGUUUCAAAAUAGCGCGGUGAAUAUGUCCCUGCUCCUU